GGGCUUAGUGAUCCGGUGGUACCUCGUGGGAGGGCCAUCGCUCAGCGGACAAAAGGUACGCCGGGGAUAACAGGCUGAUCUCCCCCAAGAGUUCACAUCGACGGGGAGGUUUGGCACCUCGAUGUCGACUCAUCGCAUCCUGGGGCUGAAGUUGGUCCCAAGGGUUGGGCUGUUCGCCCAUUAAAGCGGUACGAGAGUUGGGUUCAGAACGUCGUGAGACAGUUCGGUCCCUAUCUGUUGUGGGCGUUGGAUAUUUGAGAGGAUCGGUCCCUAGUACGAGAGGACCGGGAUGGACUGACCUCUAGUGU
rnacentral:rRNA from 1 species